UGGGGAAUAUUGGACAAUGGGCGCAAGCCUGAUCCAGCCAUGCCGCGUGAGUGAUGAAGGCCCUAGGGUUGUAAAGCUCUUUCACCGGUGAAGAUAAUGACGGUAACCGGAGAAGAAGCCCCGGCUAACUUCGUGCCAGCAGCCGCGGUAAUACGAAGGGGGCUAGCGUUGUUCGGAUUUACUGGGCGUAAAGCGCACGUAGGCGGACUUUUAAGUCAGUGGUGAAAUCCCGGGGCUCAACCCCGGAACUGCCUUUGAUACUGGAAGUCUUGAGUAUGGUAGAGGUGAGUAGAAUUCCGAGUGUAGAGGUGAAAUUCGUAGAUAUUCGGAGGAACACCAGUGGCGAAGGCGGCUCACUGGACCAUUACUGACGCUGUGGUGCGAAAGCGUGGGGAGCAAACAGG
rnacentral:rRNA from 1 species